UGGUCAAGUUAUUAAGGGUGCAGGGCGGAUGCCUUGGCACUAGGAGCCGAUGAAGGACGUGAUAAGCUGCGAUAAGCUUCGGGGAGUUGCACGUAAACUUUGAUCCGAAGAUUUCCGAAUGAGGAAACUCACUUAGAGUAAUGUCUAAGUAUC
rnacentral:rRNA from 1 species